rnacentral:rRNA from 1 species
GUAUGCAAUCUACCUUGUACUGGAGUAUACCCCAGGGAAACUUGGAUUAAUCCUCCAUAGUCUAUUGAUAUGGCAUCGUAUUAAUAGUAAAGGUUACGGUACAAGAUGAGCAUGCGUCCUAUUAGCUAGUAGGUGUGGUAACGGCACACCUAGGCAACGAUAGGUAGGGGUCCUGAGAGGGAGAUCCCCCACACUGGUACUGAGACACGGACCAGACUCCUACGGGAGGCAGCAGUGAGGAAUAUUGGACAAUGGGCGGGAGCCUGAUCCAGCCAUGCCGCGUGCAGGAAGACUGCCCUAUGGGUUGUAAACUGCUUUUAUACGGGAAGAAUAAGUGUUACGUGUAGCACGAUGACGGUACCGUAAGAAUAAGCACCGGCUAACUCCGUGCCAGCAGCCGCGGUAAUACGGAGGGUGCAAGCGUUAUCCGGAAUCAUUGGGUUUAAAGGGUCCGUAGGUGGACUAAUAAGUCAGUGGUGAAAGUCUGCAGCUUAACUGUAGAAUUGCCAUUGAUACUGUUGGUCUUGAAUUGUUGUGAAGUAACUAGAAUAUGUAGUGUAGCGGUGAAAUGCAUAGAUAUUACAUAGAAUACCGAUUGCGAAGGCAGGUUACUAACAAUAUAUUGACACUGAUGGACGAAAAGCGUGGGGAGCGAACAGGAUUAGAUACCCUGGGUAGUCCACGCCGUAAACGAUGGUUACUAGCUGUCCGGUCUAAAUUUGAGGGCUGGGGUGGGCCAAGCGAAAGUGAUAAGUAACCCACCUGGGGAGUACGUUCGCAAGAAUGAAACUCAAAGGAAUUGACGGGGGCCCGCACAAGCGGUGGAGCAUGUGGUUUAAUUCGAUGAUACGCGAGGAACCUUACCAGGGCUUAAAUGUAGUCUGACAGAUUUGGAAACAGAUUUUUCUUCGGACAGAUUACAAGGUGCUGCAUGGUUGUCGUCAGCUCGUGCCGUGAGGUGUCAGGUUAAGUCCUAUAACGAGCGCAACCCCUGUUGUUAGUUGCCAGCGAGUAAUGUCGGGAACUCUAGCAAGACUGCCGGUGCAAACCGUGAGGAAGGUGGGGAUGACGUCAAAUCAUCACGGCCCUUACGUCCUGGGCCACACACGUGCUACAAUGGUAGGUACAGAGAGCAGCCACGUCGCAAGGCGGAGCGAAUCUAUAAAACCUAUCACAGUUCGGAUCGGGGUCUGCAACUCGACCCCGUGAAGCUGGAAUCGCUAGUAAUCGCAUAUCAGCCAUGAUGCGGUGAAUACGUUCCCGGGCCUUGUACACAC